rnacentral:lncRNA from 1 species
CGUCACCGGCAGCAACGGCAGGGGUUGAGUACGACACCGCUUCCUUCAGACUCGGGUUCCGUCAAAGGCUUUCUUCUUCAGACGUACCGUGCUUUUUACCUUUCUCCUGUACAGAAGAAGGACCUGAGGAGCAUGUGGACCUGUGUACGCCAAAGACACCAUGCCUGAACAGAGUAAACAACACUACCUCCUUCUCCACGUUCUCUGCAGCGUCCUGCAAAUGCCAUCACCUGCAGGAUCUCCACUUGCUUCUGAAGAUCCCCACCCUGUGGAUGAGUCGCAGCUGAUCUACAGCACCAUCACCUUUCCCUCGGGAUCCGAACGUCCAAACACAGAGCAAAGAGAACUGCAACGUUCUACAUCCAGCACGGUGCUAUAUAGUCAACUAGCUCUGAAGAACCAUCACCGCGUCCACCCCGGCGACCAGGAGGAGGCGCUCCGCACCGUCUACGUUCUGACACAAGUUCCCCUUUAUUGCUCCUUCGCUAAAGAGGAUCACUGACCCUUACUGCGGGGUAUUUCCCGCUAGAACGGACCGUUGCCAUGGCAACAAGGAGCUGGACUCUCCGUCGGAAAGGUGAUUGAAAUAUGAAAACGGAACUGAACAGCAGAGUCACGAAACAAAGAGGCUCUUGUAGGUUUUCGACGGCUGAGAAAAGCAUGACUCACGCGGUUUUGGAGGAGGUGAGAGGACACGGCGUUGGGCCACUGUUUCAUUAGCGCUCAUGUCCUCUGUGGGACUCCCGGUCAAAAAAAAAAACAGGGCUUUGAUCAACCGCACGGGUGUUUCCGAGCGGCACCCUUUACUGACCCUUGUGCAGCUUCUCGUCACGUUUCGCUUGUUUAUUGUGUUCGCCUCUAACUGAGAAGCAGCACAGGAAGCAUAUAUGCAAGAUAAAGAUCACUUUUGACUUGAUGUCGGCUCACAGAGUCGGCUCUAUGAUUUGUUUCCUUGGCGGUGUUUUUUUUUGUUUUCUGCUGUUUUAAGGUAGCAGCAUCCUGUUAUAGAUGGUAAAUAUGUCGGCAGUGCUUGUGAAAGAUCAGUCUUAAUUCUUCACAUAUCAGUGUGACUAUAUGCACCACAUACAUCACGUGUCAUCAGCGAAUGACUGUUAUUUAUAAGUCUUUCAAGCAUUGUAAUUCCUUUUUUAAAUUCAGCCAUUCAUUAAUUUGCCCACAAGUGCGCAGCGGUUCAAAGCCCAUCUCUAAAGCAUGGGUGGGGGGGUAGAAUGCACCUUUGAUGGGGCAUGAAUUUUUAUCAUUUGUCAUGUAGAUAAUAAAUUGACAGUUACUAAUGCA